rnacentral:rRNA from 1 species
UACGAGUGGUGCAAGCGUUAUUCGGAUUUAUUGGGCGUAAAGGGUGCGCAGACGGUCUGCUAAGUCACUUGUUAAAUUCUCUGGCCUAACUAGAGACCUGCGGGUGAAACUGGCGAACUUGAGGAUGGAAGAGAGAAGUGGAAUUCUCGGAGUAGCGGUAAAAUGCGUAGAUCUCGAGAGGAACACCAAUGGCGAAGGCAGCUUCUUGGUCCAUUUCUGACGUUCAUGCACGAAAGCGUGGGGAGCAAACAGG